rnacentral:rRNA from 1 species
AUUGAACGCUGGCGGCAUGCCUUACACAUGCAAGUCGAACGGCAGCACGGGUGCUUGCCCCUGGUGGCGAGUGGCGAACGGGUGAGUAAUACAUCGGAACAUGUCCUGUAGUGGGAGAUAGCCCGGCGAAAGCCGGAUUAAUACCGCAUACGAUCUACGGAUGAAAGCGGGGGCCCUUCGGGCCUCGCGCUAUAGGGUUGGCCGAUGGCUGAUUAGCUAGUUGGUGGGGUAAAGGCCUACCAAGGCGACGAUCAGUAGCUGGUCUGAGAGGACGACCAGCCACACUGGGACUGAGACACGGCCCAGACUCCUACGGGAGGCAGCAGUGGGGAAUUUUGGACAAUGGGCGAAAGCCUGAUCCAGCAAUGCCGCGUGUGUGAAGAAGGCCUUCGGGUUGUAAAGCACUUUUGUCCGGAAAGAAAUCCUUGGCCCUAAUACGGUCGGGGGAUGACGGUACCGGAAGAAUAAGCACCGGCUAACUACGUG